UACGUAGGGGGCAAGCGUUAUCCGGAUUUACUGGGUGUAAAGGGAGCGUAGACGGGCGUGCAAGUCUGAAGUGAAAGCCCGGGGCUCAACCCCGGAACUGCUUUGGAAACUGUAUGUCUAGAGUGCAGGAGAGGUAAGUGGAAUUCCUAGUGUAGCGGUGAAAUGCGUAGAUAUUAGGAGGAACACCAGUGGCGAAGGCGGCUUACUGGACUGUAACUGACGUUGAGGCUCGAAGGCGUGGGGAGCAAAC
rnacentral:rRNA from 1 species